AAAAAACGUUACAGUUGAACUGUGUGUUAAGCGGCGGCCGCAGUAACUUACUUCAACAGACCCCUCCAGGCUGGCUGAGAGACACAGGAGAACUACGAGCAACUCUGAAGAAGCUUCAGGGAAGCAGCCACCAAUCAGUUGUUCCUGCUGUGCAAAUUAUUUGGAAUCUCCUGCCAGUGAUCAUUGCUUGUGGAUAAUGAGGUUGAAGAACUGGAGCAGACAACCAUGGCGAUCUUUAUCACUGGGAAAGAGGAUCCUCUCCAUCCACCUAAAGACAUUUAAAUUGUUGUCGAAGGAAAAGAGGUCCUGAACGAGUUGCCAUCGGUUGCUGGGCUCAUAUAUACACUAAACCUAAAAUAUCCAAAAAGGCUACAGUUCACCUUUGAAUUUGUGCAAAAUGUCCUGAUGGAGCUUGAUGGAAUAAAGAUGACCCCAAAAGUCACUAGACUGACCACCCAGCUGUACAGGGAUUAAUUGUAUAAUUGCAUUAUUGUUACAUUUUAUUGUGUUUUUACAGCCAAGACUUUAGAUCCUUUUAAUAAAAAGGUUGUACUAACAAGGCUGCAUUUUCACUGCAGCAUUUACAAAUGUGGCUGCCCAAGUUCGAUGGCUACCAGGUACAAAGGUUGAAUAAGGCCAAGUCUUAUGAACAACUGAAGAGACUGAUUGCAGUGUUUCAAGUAUUUCUGCUGUCAAUCUUCAUACAUUUGAAGCAAAUAUUCAAUGUUGUGAGUUUAUUGAACAAUAAAAAUGUUUUCUAAAGGAAAAGUGUUCUGAGUAGUCAUUGAUUAAAAUUUAUUGAAAUCAUUAAUUAAAUAAAAUAAUUAAUUUAAUCAGACCUAUAAAAAUUAGUUUGUACCAAACUAAAAUAAUUAAUUUAAUUUAACAUAUACAUAUUAGUUUAGUUGGUUUGUUCUAAUUUAAAAAAAUUAGUUCGUUCCAACCUAAAAUAAUUAGAUUGAUCAACCUUUAAAAAGUGGUUUGCAUGGAUUUAAAAUUUUCAAGUUAAACUAAAUUAAAUUAUUUACAUUGAGUCAAUGUCAAAUGUUUCGUGUGAUUGAUUACUUCAAUUUUUUUAAGUUGAUACAAGGUUUUUAUUUUUUC